UCGGUUCUGCGCGGCUCGCCACCGAUUUACGAUGAUUGAGCCAACGCCGUAGAAAAGGGAGACCGACGCCGACGCCAGUGCAGUCCCUCAUCGUCAGGGAAUUGCCGGAGGCGGCGGCUUUGACCGAGAGGUUAGGUCGCCCACCUGUUAGCGCAGGUUCAAUUACGGCUUCGGAGCGGCCAGCGCGGUUCUCCC
rnacentral:other from 1 species